CUUGGUCCCCUGUAAAAAGAAAGAAUUGGACUAGAUGAACACCGAGUUCCUUCCAGCUCUAAAAGUAGUUGGCAUGCCCAAGUACUGGCUUGGCUCCAUAUUGCCUCCAAUGGUGAGGGCUUUGUUCUAAAAUUGAUGGUGUCCCAUACUGAAGGGAUAAAUUUUUUAUCCGAUGAGGACUUUAUUCUGACUGCGAUGACUUCUGCUUAGCAAGCUCAGGCAGGCAUUGGUGUUGACUUCUCCGAAGGAAUCCAGAGGCCUCUAUUCUCUCUCCCCCGGAGCUCCUGACUUACCAGUCCAGGCUGGCACGGAAACUUUUAAACCUGGUUAAACCACAAUAGAGCAUCUUCCUCAGGCCCGCUCCUAGGCAAAGCUGGGAAGUGAGAGAUGAGGAAACUGAGGCUGAGAGAAGUUAAGUGACUUGCCCAGUGUCACUCAGUGAGUGACUGAAGCACUACACCACCUACAUAUA